UUACUUCAAGAGCACAUACAGCAAAACUGAAACAAUACGGAUAAUAUUGGCAUGGCUCAUGAACAAGGACAAUAUGCAAAUUCAUGAAAUGUUUCAUAUUUAA
ensembl:snRNA U6 U6 spliceosomal RNA